GUUUGAUCCUGGCUCAGAACGAACGCUGGCGGCGUGCUUAACACAUGCAAGUCGCGUGCGCAGUUGCCGUAGCAAUACGGUGAUAGGCGCACGGCGCACGGGUGCGUAACACGUGGGCAAUCUGCCCUUUGAUGGGGAAUAACCCGCCGAAAGGCGGGCUAAUUCCGCAUAAGAUUCCCGGGACCUCGGUCCUGGGAUUGAAAGCAGCAAUGCGUCGAAGGAGGAGCCCGCGCCCGAUUAGCUAGUUGGUGAGGUAACGGCUCACCAAGGCUAUGAUCGGUAGCUGGUCUGAGAGGAUGAUCAGCCACACUGGAACUGAGACACGGUCCAGACUCCUACGGGAGGCAGCAGUGGGGAAUAUUGCGCAAUGGGCGAAAGCCUGACGCAGCGACGCCGCGUGGGGGAUGAAGCUUCUCGGAGUGUAAACCCCUUUCGACCCGGACGAAUGACCCGCAAGGGUUUGACGGUACGGGUAUAAGAAGCCCCGGCUAACUACGUGCCAGCAGCCGCGGUAAUACGUAGGGGGCCAGCGUUGCUCGGAAUUACUGGGCGUAAAGGGUUCGUAGGUGGUGCGGCAAGUUGGAAGUGAAAUCUCUGGGCUUAACCCAGAGGCUGCUUUCAAAACUGCCGCGCUCGGGUGCGAGAGAGGCCAGUGGAAUUGCAGGUGUAGUGGUGAAAUGCGUAGAUAUCUGCAGGAACACCCGUGGCGAAGGCGGCUGGCUGGAUCGCAACUGACACUGAGGAACGAAAGCUAGGGGAGCAAACAGGAUUAGAUACCCUGGUAGUCCUAGCCCUAAACCAUCGGAACUUGGGGUGGCCCGCGUAGGCGGGUCGUCCCGUAGCUAACGCGUUAAGUUCCGCGCCUGGGGAGUACGGUCGCAAGACUGAAACUCAAAGGAAUUGACGGGGCCCGCACAAGCGGUGGAACAUGUGGUUCAAUUCGACGCAACGCGAAGAACCUUACCUGGGCUUGAACCGCUACUGACACGGUAGAAUAUCGUCUCCCGCAGGGACAGUAGUAGAGUGCUGCAUGCUGUCGUCAGCUCGUGCCGUGAGGUGUUGGGUAAGUCCCGCACGAGCGCAACCCUUACUCGUAGUGC
rnacentral:rRNA from 1 species